UACAGAGGUCCCGAGCGUUGUUCGGAUUCACUGGGCGUAAAGGGUGCGUAGGUGGCAUGGUAAGUUUGAUGUGAAAGCUCAGGGCUCAACCCUGAAAUGGCAUUGAAUACUACUGUGCUGGAGGUUUGGAGGGGGGACUGGAAUUCUUGGUGUAGCAGUGAAAUGCGUAGAUAUCAGGAGGAACACCGGUGGCGAAGGCGGCUUUCUGGACAGAUACCGACGCUGAGGAGCGAAAGCUAGGGGAGCAAACGGG
rnacentral:rRNA from 1 species